UUUGUAAUCCAACUUAGCCGCGUAAGUCCUAGUUAGAGGGUAAUAUGUAAGAGGGAGGUUACGAAUGAUAGUCCUGUCUGUUUUUGUUGGUCCUACUUAUGUUUCUCGCGAGACUUGAUAACAAUACCGUACAGCAUAUCGUGUGGUUUACCAUAUUUAAUUCAAAAUUUGUUUUUCACUGCGUAUAUAUUUUAAACUAUCGUGGUCCUGUUUAUUUCCAUGUUAUAGAACCAGAAGUGCUGCUAGUGAGUGCUACUACGAUUCGUACAAAUAGUUAAUACAUCACCAUAUACUGCUAGUUACUAUAGGAAAACUAUGAUUGAGGAAACGAGAAGACUUUCAACUCCUCAUAUUGUACGUUAUAUCUGGAACGCAAUUAGCAUAAUCAAGAAACGAAAACAGAAACCAACUUGUACUCGAAUUUCAAGUAACGUUUCUCGUAAUCAUGAAAUUGAUUGUGAGAAGCUGUUCCAAGAACUGAAUUAUGCUGUGUCGGAUGACCUUGUUAUGCAGCAAUGUGUUGAAAUAGAAGGUGUCUCGGAACAUGCUUAUAAACUGACAAAUGGAAGCAUUAUUAAAUAAAUACUCAAAUAAGAAAUCGGUGACUACAGUUCUAAUACCACCAUCAGCAUUCUUGAUAAUCCAGAACCAUGAUGAUUUCACACGGUAACUGUCCAUUUUGAGACAGGUGUUGGAUACUUGUUCGUAGUAUACCUUCCAUGAAACUAACAGAUGAGCUCGUUGAUGCCCCCUGGUUUCUUGUCUAUGCCAAGACCUCAGUUGUACAACUAUCAGUAAUAAGACAGAUGGACUUGUAUAUUCUUGAGUGAGCUGUA